rnacentral:rRNA from 1 species
CCUACGGGAGGCAGCAGUGAGGAAUAUUGGUCAAUGGGCGGAAGCCUGAACCAGCCAAGUCGCGUGAGGGAGUAAGGCCCUACGGGUCGUAAACCUCUUUUGCCGGGGAGCAGUGCCCAGCUCGUGAGCUGGGAGGGAGCGUACCCGGAGAAAAAGCAUCGGCUAACUCCGUGCCAGCAGCCGCGGUAAUACGGAGGAUGCGAGCGUUAUCCGGAUUUAUUGGGUUUAAAGGGUGCGUAGGCGGACAGUCAAGUCAGCGGUAAAAAUGCGGUGCUCAACGCCGUACAGCCGUUGAAACUGGCAGUCUUGAGUGGGCGAGAAGUAUGCGGAAUGCGUGGUGUAGCGGUGAAAUGCAUAGAUAUCACGCAGAACUCCGAUUGCGAAGGCAGCAUACCGGCGCCCUACUGACGCUGAGGCACGAAAGCGUGGGUAUCGAACAGGAUUAGAUACCCGGGUAGUC